AUCGGGAGGCAGCAGUGGGGAAUCUUGCGCAAUGGGCGAAAGCCUGACGCAGCGACGCCGCGUGAGGGAGGAAGGCCUUCGGGUUGUAAACCUCUUUCAGGAGGGACGAAGCUACUCGGGUGAACAGCCCAGAGGGUGACGGUACCUCCAGAAGAAGCCCCGGCUAACUACGUGCCAGCAGCCGCGGUAAUACGUAGGGGGCAAGCGUUGUCCGGAUUUACUGGGCGUAAAGCGCGUGUAGGCGGCCACGCAGGUCCGUUGUGAAAACUGGAGGCUCAACUUCCAGACGUCGACGGAAACCGUGUGGCUAGAGUCCGGAAGAGGAGAGUGGAAUUCCUGGUGUAGCGGUGAAAUGCGCAGAUAUCAGGAAGAACACCAAUGGCGAAGGCAGCUCUCUGGGACGGUACUGACGCUGAGACGCGAAAGCGUGGGGAGCGAACAGGAUUAGAUACCCUGGUAGUCCACGCCGUAAACGAUGGGUGCUAGGUGUGGGAGGUGUCGACUCCUUCCGUGCCGUAGCUAACGCAUUAAGCACCCCGCCUGGGGAGUACGGCCGCAAGGCUAAAACUCAAAGGAAUUGACGGGGCCCCGCACAAGCAGCGGAGCAUGUGGUUUAAUUCGAUGCAACGCGAAGAACCUUACCAGGGCUUGACAUGCACUGGAAAACCGUAGAAAUACGGUCCUCCUUCGGGACCAGUGCACAGGUGGUGCAUGGCUGUCGUCAGCUCGUGUCGUGAGAUGUUGGGUUAAGUCCCGCAACGAGCGCAACCCCUGUCCCAUGUUGCCAGCGAGUCAUGUCGGGGACUCAUGGGAAACUGCCGGUGACAAAUCGGAGGAAGGUGGGGAUGAUGUCAAGUCAUCAUGCCCCUUAUGUCCUGGGCUACAAACGUGCUACAUUGGCCGGUACAAAGGGCUGCAAACUCGCGAGGGUGAGCGAAUCCCAAAAAGCCGGUCCCGGUUCGGAUUGAAGGCUGAAACUCGCCUUCAUGAAGGCGGAGUUGCUAGUAAUCGCGGAUCAGCAACGCCGCGGUGAAUACGUACACGGGCCUUGUACACACCGCCAUCCAUAUGA
rnacentral:rRNA from 1 species